rnacentral:rRNA from 1 species
GAGUUUGAUCCUGGCUCAGGAUAAACGCUAGCGGCAGGCCUAACACAUGCAAGUCGAGGGGUAACAAUGUCUUCNGACAGUUGACGACCGGCGCACGGGUGAGUAUCGCGUUUGUAACCUACCUUUAACUGGAGAAUAGCCCGAAGAAAUUCGGAUUAAUACUCCAUAAUACUAUGAACUGGCAUCUUUUUAUAGUUAAAGCUCCGGCGGUUAAAGAUGGGCAUGCGUAACAUUAGAUUGUUGGUGAGGUAACGGCUCACCAAGUCUACGAUGUUUAGGGGGUCUGAGAGGAUGGUCCCCCACACUGGUACUGAGACACGGACCAGACUCCUACGGGAGGCAGCAGUGAGGAAUAUUGGUCAAUGGGCGCAAGCCUGAACCAGCCAUGCCGCGUGAAGGAUGACGGCGCUACGCGUUGUAAACUUCUUUUGUACAGGAAGAAACGCUUCUACGUGUAGAAGUCUGACGGUACUGUACGAAUAAGCACCGGCUAACUCCGUGCCAGCAGCCGCGGUAAUACGGAGGGUGCAAGCGUUAUCCGGAUUUAUUGGGUUUAAAGGGUACGUAGGCGGAAAAUUAAGUCAGUAGUGAAAUCCUGCAGCUUAACUGUAGAACUGUUAUUGAUACUGGUUUUCUUGAAUUUAGUUGAAGUAGGCGGAAUGUGUAAUGUAGCGGUGAAAUGCUUAGAUAUUACACAGAACACCGAUUGCGAAGGCAGCUUACUAAGCUAUGAUUGACGCUGAGGUACGA